rnacentral:lncRNA from 1 species
AACGGCCGCUUCCUAGUCACGUCUUUUUCUUUUACAUAUUUUCACUUCGUUGGAAUCUUGCAAAUCAAAAUGGCCGUAGUUGAUUUAGUAAUUUUUUUCGAAAUGAAAGACAACGGUCUAAUCUAUGUAAGUAAAAAAAAUCAGGAAAAAAUGAAUAAAAUGCAUCUGUCAUGUCACGAUAGAAUUUAGCCAAAUUUAAAUAACGCAUGAUUUUUUUUGACAUAAUUUUUUUUAGAAUCACAUAAUGUUUGUUUUUUGGGCCAACGCUCGCCCGGCCUUAUUGAUGGAUGGGCCGGGUGGCCUGGCGAGCGUAGAAGACGAUAGGUUUAGCCGUUUAGGGGUUCG